AUUGAACGCUGGCGGCAUGCUUUACACAUGCAAGUCGAGCGGUAACAGGCCUUCGGGUGCUGACGAGUGGCGAACGGGUGAGUAGUGCAUCGGAACGUACCCAGAGGUGGGGGAUAACGCAGCGAAAGCUGUGCUAAUACCGCAUGUGAUCUGAGGAUGAAAGCGGGGGACCGAGCAGCAAUGUUUGGCCUCGCGCCUUUGGAGCGGCCGAUGUCGGAUUAGCUAGUUGGUGGGGUAAAGGCCUACCAAGGCGACGAUCCGUAGCUGGUCUGAGAGGACGACCAGCCACACUGGGACUGAGACACGGCCCAGACUCCUACGGGAGGCAGCAGUAGGGAAUUUUGGACAAUGGGCGCAAGCCUGAUCCAGCAAUGCCGCGUGCGGGAAGAAGGCCUUCGGGUUGUAAACCGCUUUUGGCAGGAACGAAACGGUGUCCGCUAAUACCGGGCGCUAAUGACGGUACCUGCAGAAUAAGCACCGGCUAACUACGUG
rnacentral:rRNA from 1 species